rnacentral:lncRNA from 1 species
UACCUCAUUUCAGAAAGAAGUACAAGCGAACAGAUGACACAUUAAAGUGGCUGCAGAAGCUUGAAAAGUUAGAUAGAGCAGGGGCAGUCAAAACAGUGCGAUACUACUAUGGUGUCCAACAUGUCUAGUCAGGUUGCCAGAAGUGAAUGAUGGUCUGAUGGUACAAUGAUGUACAAAUGAUACUCUUUAACAAGUUUAACAUGUCAAGGUGUGAAAUGUUCUGUGGAUUCAUAUGAUGAGAAUGCCAGUGUUGACCUGUAUGACUUAAUUAAACACAGAUAUUGAUACCUUCAGAUAUACCUGUGAAAUCUUCUGUGUCACCGUUCAGCUAUUGUUCAAGAUCAGUGUCUGAAGCUUGCACAGUUUAGUAUAGAGGAGCCUUCUGAAUCAACUUUGUUACAUAUUUGCUGUUAUUGUAGGACACACAUGUAGAGAGCAGCACGUCCUGUCCAGCGGUGCAUGUAAAUGUGAUUCAGAAACUUUGAGAAUAUGUAAACAUUACGCUGUUAUAAUGUUCAAAAUACUGUGUCUUGUAGUGUAUCAGUACUGUUUUGUCUCAGUUUAUAGCACAGUAUGUU